rnacentral:lncRNA from 12 species
CAAAUGUCAGGGUGACAUUCUCUUUGCUCUGAAUUUGGAAGCAUUGAUACCAGUGCCCAGCUGCACCAGAACUAACAGAUCUGCCACCUACAUUAUCCUCUUACUUGCCUGGGUGACCACCACUGAAGAUGUGGGAAGCACAAAGUUGGGGGAAGAGUUUUCCAUCCUGGCCUCCAGGCAAGCAUUCUUGGUAGCUCGGCUAACUGAAGUGUAGGAGUAGUGGUUUCUUCUAGAUUAGACACAUUGAAGCUUUAAAAAUUGUUUCUUGGGAAAAGGAAGAGGCAACACUCCAUGUUUAGUGAUUCAUAAAAAUCCCUGUCAAGAAACUGUUGAGGUUGUAUAUGAGCAUAGAUACCCCACCCCACAUAGCUUUGCU